rnacentral:lncRNA from 1 species
GAGUUUCUAAUAUUUAGAGUUUACAAAACAUGUAUGAAAUAAAUAAAUCAUUUGUUUAAAAUGUGCAUGAACAUAUUAAUAAUUCUAAAGCUACCAAGAAUAAGAGGCAACUAUGAGCAAAACACAGGUACGUCUUCAGCGCCAGCUCCCUCCAUUUCACAAUAAUAUCAGGAUCCAAAUCUGCACUCAAGGUGCAAAAGUGUAGUAUGAUUACAACGAACCCCAUGUACUCAAUAAAUAAUAAACCUAAUAUUUGGUUGAAAGCGAUGACAAGCUUGGACAAAUGGUCAGAGUCCAACACUAAUAGUUAACAAUAACUCAUAACAAUAUAAAUUAAGUAGUACAAGAAACAACUCAAAGAUAUGAAGCUCAACUCUUUUACAGUUACAGAAAAAUAGGCAUCCUUUUCAAGUAUAACAGUAAAACCCAAAUCUUUCAUCGAAAUCACAAAAAUAUGACUGUAUCAGAAAAUUGUGAUUUUUUCCAAAAACUUUCAAAAACAGAUAAAUUAUUUCAAUCUCAGAUUUCAUAAGGAAAGUAUAUCUAUAUGCCUACACGUUAAUGUACAUGUGAAGUCAUGAAUGUCACAAUACUGUGUAGCAUGAGGAAAUGCAUCCCAUGCUUGUAUGUCAAAUAUACAUGUCAAUGCAAUGCUUCACAAUGAUGAACUCAUGUACUCAUCUUCUCAGAGUACUCAAUCUCAUUGUCUCGCACUCCCACUCGUCAUGCUCAAUCCCUCAGCACACUCAAUCAGUCAGCACUGUAUGGUACCUACUGCAGCAUGCCGGCCGAUUCCAUCAUGAAUCAGUAAAACUUGCACUUACUGCUGGUAUGUUAGAAAGGGGCAGAUCCUGCCUAAGCGCUGAUAUAAGCAAACAUGGCAUGUUGUGGCUUGCAGACCGAUUCCAUUAAUAUCACUCACACUCUAGCGCUCAGGCCCAAGCUCAGUCAUCAAUCUUUCCAGUCUAUCGAGCUCACAAAUCUCAUGUCAAUCAGCCCAAAUAAUCAUAACAUCAUGUGACAACAAAUGAUAACAAAGACUGAGAUAUGAUAUGUAAAUGAAUGAAUAUAACUGAGCAUGUAACUACAAUUUAAGUAAAUAAUUCAACAAAAGAAAUGACCCUAGUGGGUCCCAACAUAAUACGAAUAUAGCCUAAACAUAAUUUCUAAUAUGGAUCUCAUCUCAAUUACUCUAGCACGUAGAAAUUUCAUCGAUAAAAAUAAGAUUAGGUAACUACACACUACCCCAGAAAUAAUCGAGUCACAAUUCAAACGAUGCACGCCCACACGCCUGUCACCUAGCAUGUGCGUCACCACAACACCAAAGACAUAGCACCUAUAUUCAGGGUUUCAUACCCUCAGCACCAAGUUUAGAAGUGUAACUUACCUCGAAAAGCCGAAUCCAAUAUUGAUAAGCCAAACUAUAUUCUAGAAAUGCCAUCCCGUGCGUACCGACCUUCGAACUUCUUGAAACUACCAAAAGUAACUCAAGAACAUCAAAUCAUGCCAAAGAAAACAAACUCAAUCGAUAAAGGUCCAUUCUUUAAUCAAAAGCCCAAAGUCAACAAAAAAGUCAAAUCCGGGCCAGUUUCUCGAAACAUGACAAACCUCACAAAAUCUGACAACACAUUUAAUUACGAGCCCAGCGAUACUGUUUUCACAAAAAUUCCCACCAGCUGAAAUUCCUCUUACGCGAACGCAUCAUCAGAAUCGCGAAUGUGAUGGUCAAUACCCUAGAGAUACGCUAUCGUGUUUCACACUUUGCGACCAUGAAGAACAAACACCUGACAUCCUCAUGGCAUCCUUUCUUCUACAUGAACAUACUGAAUAAUUGCCUCAACCUUCGCGAACACAUCUCUAGACGCUAGAAUGCGAUGAAAUUUUUUUGCCAACCAUCAAACAGUUCUAUGCCAUCGCGAUCCACUCUGCAUGAUCGUGAACAACAAAACUAUAGAUGCCCAGAACUCAGAAGAAACCAAUAAUACCAAAAUGAAGAAAAAUGGUCCGAAAUUAAUCCGAAUCACACCUGAGUCCCUUGGGACCCUUUCCCGAUAUUCCCACAAGUCUCAUAAGUACACAUACCUACUCGUCGCCUCCAAUAAUGAAUAACAACAUAAAAUUCCCGAAUUUCACUUCAAAUUGAACUUGAAGAGCUUUUGAACUUUCAACCUUCAAAACUCGCGCCGAACCAUAUCCAAUCAACUCGAAAUGAACUCAAAUUUUGUAUACAAGUCCCAAAUGACAUAACUCAGCUAUUCCAAUUCUCCGAACCAUAAUUUGAAUUCUAUAUGAUCAAAAUCAACUCUUGGCCAAACUUAUGAACAUUUCAAACCUUCAAAUUUCCAACUUUCGCCAAUUAGUGCCGAAACCUUCUAGGAAUAUCCAAAUGCAAAUUCGGGUAUACGCUCGAGUCUAAAAUCUCCAUCCGGACCUAACGGGACCAUCAAGACUCUGAUAUGAGAUCAAGUACUAUAAAUCUAAACUUGGUCAACUCUUCAAACUUAAAGGUUCCUAGUUAAGAAUCAUUCUUCCAAAGCAAUUUCAUAAAAAGCUUAAAACCAAAACUGAAGAUUCACACAAGUCAUAAUACAUCAUAAGAUGGUGCUCAAGACUUCAAAUAUCUGAAUGGAAUGCAAAUGCUCAAACCGACCGACUAGGUUGUUACAUGAUUUAAACUAGAAAUUGUGAGAUAUCGAUCGAAAGGCUUGUUAGUAAUAUUAUAGAUUGUUGGACUAUUUGGGAGGUGUUCUUGCAGCAUUUUAUGGCUGGAGAAUUUAUGGAAUCAUAUGAGUACAUUUUGUUGUUACUAUCAAUAAUUUCUUGAAUAUAAAUAAGAGGGAAAGUAUUCAAAAUAUAGUGUUAUUAUACAUGAACCGAGCUUUCCGCUCGAUGUGUUAUUGUGCUGGUUGUGUUCUAUAUAGCUAUUGGUUGUUGUUUGAGUUGUUUCGUGACUUUUAGUAACUUAUGGGAUAUAGCAUAAACAAGGGAAGUGUUGUCUGUUUUCUUGUAGAAUAUUGGUUUUGACAUGUGAGAGUUACAGUGCUUAUACGAUGAUGACGAAGUCGGUUUACUCAUUAUAGACGUAAGAAGAUCAUAUUGAGCUUGGUUGACGAUUGGAGAGAAGAUUUUAAAGGUAUGUUAGUUCACUUCCUGCUUUCUUCUGGUAUGAUCUAAAGUGAAAUAAACAUAAACGAUAUGCUAUAUCAUAACGGAUCUACACCUAACAACUAAGUUUGUCCUUGUUAUUCUUUCCUUAUAAAGUUAUUCUAAUCAUGUAUGUAUGAUGCUUGAAUUCUGUUGAGGUCCAUAUUGAUAGUAUGAUGUCCAUAAUGUAAAUCAAAAAUGCAAUGACCUUACGUGACUCUGAAAGGUUUAGAACGUGAUUCCAUGGGUCCAACAUGCAUUAUAUAUAUAUAUAUAUAUAUAUAUAUAUACAUAUAUAUUACUCUACUAAGAUGCAUUAUAGUUGACCGAGUACGAUAUCUAUUGUGCAACCACAAAUGAGUUGGGUUUUAUCGAGCUCCAUGUGACCGUGCAUAGUUCGACCGAGCCUUAUGAUGAUCAUGUACGAUAUGAUGAUGAUACCCCCAGAGGCAUAUGUUUUUAAAAGUUUAUAUAUGUAUCAUGAAUUUCAUGUCAGUAGCCCUCAGAGGUACUUAGAUGUUAGAGGUUGUAUAUUCUCUAUCCCUGUAUAUAUUACUAUUCUUAUUUAUGCUUUCCUACCUUAUAUACUCAGUACUUUAUUUGUACUGACGUUCCUUUUAUUUGUGGACAAUGCAUGUCAUGCUGCAUGUCCUGAUAGAUAGGUAGAUGAAGCUCCCCUACCACAGUAGGUUGCCCAAUUCAACGGUUAUCGGCGAGAUCCCUUUUCGGGACUUGUCGUAGUCUUGGUAUGCACUUUUGUUAUAGACAUUAUGGGUAUGUCAGGGCCCUGUUCCGGCAUUGUUAUAGCACAUAUGUUCCUGUAGAGGCUCAUAUACUGGUGUCGACUCAUGUAUAGUUUGGAUUGCUGUGUCUGCUGAUUUUUAUUGUAGUCUCUCAUGGUAGCUUGUUAUCUCGUACCUUAUAUAUAGCUUUACGACACCCUUGUCUGCCCAUGAUAUAUAUGUUCAUGCCAUUAUCUGUCAUUGUUGGUUGUUCAUGAUUCAUGUCUAUCAUCUAUGUUGAUCUCAUCGGCCCUUAUAGAUAAUAAGAAAGGUAAGAUAAAAUGUACGCUGAUUCUCGGCAGGUAUGGCCCGGGUGCCAAUCACGGCCCUCCAGUUUGGGUUGUGACAAACUUGAAAUCAGAGCAAGUCUGUCCUAGGGGUUGUCUAUGAGCCAUGUCUAGUAAAGUCUUGAUUAUGGAUGUUUAGCGCGCCACACCUAUAAUCAGGAGGCUACAUGACAUCUAGGGUUGCUACUUUCUUCCUGAAUCUAAAUCAUUCAUAGAGUUGAGUCGCAAGUGUUCAUAUCUAAUAUUCACCUUGUUUUCUUUUAGCGAUACAUUCGAUUAGGAAGAGAGCGAUUAAUAGAUGGCUUAAUACAGCUGGGAGAGGGUACCAGUUAGGUGCCUCUAGCCAGAAUAGGCCAAAGAGAAGAUUAGACUAAGAUGUUGUCUCAUACAAAAGUUUACACAAUUUUCUCUAACCCUAACGAAUCUACACCGUGACAACUGAUCCCUUCAAUUUUCUCCAUGUCAGUUUUCAAGUCAGCAAGUCCCACCACCCCUCUAAUAUUAUGCAUUUUAGAAAUAGAAGUUAUUGUACAAUAAAAAAAGGGAGAACUUUUAAGGGAAAAUAAAUGAACAGCAUAAGCUUAAUUUAAGAAUUAAGAAUAAAUAAUAAAGAAUAAAGGGGGAAAAAGAAGACCUCAGAAACAUCAAGAGGGUUGACAAGGACGGCGGAGAGAACGGCAGCACCAGCGGCGGAAAUAACCCUCUCCAAAAUGCAAAUGCAACCAUAAAGUUCUCGGAAUGUGAAGGCUUACUUGUUGACGUGUGCCCAUCAGAAACGACGAUAUUUUUUAUCGAAAAUUCAACGGCAGAUCGUGUUGCAGUGGCUGCCCCAAUCCAUGACCGCAACCUCUUGUUUGUUGAUGUUGAUCCUACCAUCAAUGUUUUUUAACCUUUCAAGUUGAACAAAUUUGUUGUUUUUGUAUUGAAAUUAAUUGAAAUUUCUCACUAUUUCUGUGUAUAGAGGUGGACAAUUGAAUUUGAACAAAAUGUUGGAUACUUUUUCAGAAAAUUAUAGCUUCUGGGGUUGUACAAUUUUUU